rnacentral:rRNA from 1 species
GACAGAGGGGGCAAGCGUUGCUCGGAAUUACUGGGCGGAAAGCGCGCGCAGGCGGCUAUCCAAGUCAGUGGUGAAAGCCCGGAGCUCAACUCCGGAACUGCCAUUGAAACUGUUUAGCUUGAGGAUGAGAGAGGUGAGUGGAAUUCCCAGUGUAGAGGUGAAAUUCGUAGAUAUUGGGAAGAACACCGGUGGCGAAGGCGGCUCACUGGCUCAUUACUGACGCUCAGGCGCGAUAGCGUGGGGAUCAAACAGG